rnacentral:lncRNA from 10 species
GUGAGCUCUGUUUCCGGAGUCUAUCUGGGAACCUUUUCCUUCCCUGCUGGUCCACAUUCCCGGAGCUCUGCGAGUCAGCAUCGAGGUGAAGGGACCAGGGGAGCCCCAUACCACUGAAGGGCUGGUUUCUUCCCUUCAUGAAGCUUUUCCUUCCGGCCACCCACGGGGACCCUGACAUGUGCAGGGCACCUCAGGAGAGAAAGGCAGAGCUCCGUCUUCAACUCAACACAGAAGAAAAACCCGCAUUUUUCAAAGCAGCGAAGACUCAGAUGGGAGCAUCAGGAGGAGAGGCCAUCCUGGUGGUCUGGGGCUGUGGAGCCAGGCUCUGAGGACUCAGUGGGCCACUGACUUGGGGUGAGGAGAGCAAGGGCUAGCCAGGCAGAGCCACAAUAAAAAUGAUGACAGCUAAUGGUAAUUAGGGGUUGAAAUUUGUACCUCCUUCGCUAUGAGCAUAAAGUGAGAUGCUCCGAGACAGUGCGCAGGCCUGGCACCUGAGCGCACCUGCAGUUGUAGCUGUGAUUAUUACUACUCAGGCAGCCACAGCAAACUGAGCACUGUGCCCUGUACCCUGGGUGCCCUUUCUGACUUUCCCUGCCCCCUCACCGCCCGGUCCUUCAGCGCUGGGACCCUGUGUGACAGCGCGGCAGCCCUACACCUGUGUGGCUUGUCAUGGAUUCUGCCACACCACACAGUGGAUUAGGAUGCCUUGUUCCUUCACGUUAGCUGUGCCGUUUCUACCAGGAGACAAUUAGCGAAGUAAGUGCUGUUCUGUGGUACCAGGAGAGGGUUGGGGACGACGGGCUCCCCAAAACACGGGGGCUCUGCUGAGGCCUUUGGAGAGAUGUCUUCGCUGUCCAGGAGGGGGUCCUGGGUGUCCUUUCGGUUAUUUUUGGGCAGCCCUGAGGCACUUUGGAGAACGUUCCAGAACACUGAGAGGAAACUCCACCCAGCCCCAAUCCAGGGAAGGAGGAACCUGAUUCAAAUGAUCUCUAUGCCUCAAAAUCUGUUCCUAAUCUGGAGGUAACAAGUUAUUAAUAACCGUAUUGGUUAUUCAUCUCCUCACCACCUUCGUGACUCCCCACCCACCCACGUGUGCAUCCCCCUGACCACUGGUCCACUCCGAUGCUCCCAUGUCUCCCCUCCUGCCCCCACCCACCCACGUGCGUGUCCCCCCAACCACAGGUCCACUCCGAUGCUCCCACGUCUUCCCUCCUGCUGGGGCCCUCACCUGCUCCCACCAGUUACUGCCUUAGCCCCUCACUGGCUGGCUCCUUCCAGGAACCCCCUCCAGGCCACUCCCACUGAGCUACACAAGAGGCUUUUAGAAAUGCAGGUCCCACAGGCUUGUUUCCCUUAAUGGCUUUCAAUUACCUUCAAGAUAAAACCCAACUUCCUGGGCUGGGCCAGCAAGGCCCACUCCUCUUGCGGACAGGUUGUUGCCUCCUACUCAGUCCUUGAAACCCCCCACCUGUGAGCCCGCUCCCCCUACCUGGAACUCCUUCCUACCCCAAACCUUUUUAUCCCCCGGAUUCCUACUCAUCCUGAAUUUUAUUUUCAAUGUUGAUGUCACUGUCAUAUCUAGUUUUUUUUUUCUUUCUUUUUUUUUUUCCACGCCCUCUGCUCACUGCAACCUCCGCCUCCUGGGUUCAAAUGAUUCUCCUGCCUCAGCCUGCAGAGUAGCUGGGAUUACAGGAGCCCAACAUCAUGC